AGGUUUUAUACGGAUUCAACUUCCACAUAAUUCUUGCUUCUGUGGAUUUUUCUUUUUGUUUUUAUUAUCUGCAGGCACUUCCCAGUCGAACAGAAGCUCUUAUAAUAUCUGCUUGGCCUGAAACUUCUCUUCCCAGGAAUACUAAUUUGGUAAAAAGAUUUGUACAAGCUCUGGUGAGUAUAUAGAUGUGUUCUUUUCCCCUAUACAUUUCCCUAGGCUCCAUUCCUGCUAUUCUUCAAGCCAUAAGUACUAAGGUAAAUCAAUCACUAAUUUCUGGUAACUUGUGUGAUAGACUCGAGCAAUCUGGAAUGCUAGAACCGAGUACUCUGUUGAGCCAGCAAAGCGUAUAUCUGCUUCUAUUGUUGGCAGUGAAGAAGUCAUUCAGUAUAUGUCUGAAGAGAAGGAGGUUUUGGCUCUCUUAUCCAAGCUAUAUAUAGACAAUAUUCAUUUCACUGAUUCUCCUCCAGAGGAUGCUAAACCUUGUUGCAAGUGAAGGACUUGAGGCAUAUCUUCCCCUUGCUGAUAUUGUUGAUAUUUCUGCUGAAGUCGAACGCUUAACCAAGUGCCUAUCAAAGAUGCAAAUAGAGUAUGAGGAACUAAAAGCUCGCCUCAGCUCCCCUAAAUUCAUCGAGAAAGCUCCCGAGGAUAUCGUCCGUGGUGUUCAGGAAAAAGCAGCAGAAGCAAAAGAGAAGAUUAAUCUGACCAAACACCGAUUGGAUUUCCUCAAAUCAACUGUUGUACUUUCACAAUAGGCUCCACAUUUGGUCAUAUUUUUGGUCUUUUAACAAAGCUAGACAUUCUGAUGGGAUGAUCGGCACGGCUUAUUCAUUUAUGUCAAAAUGAACCCCACUUCGACUGUUGUGAAUAUUCAACCUUGUG